UACGUAGGGCGCGAGCGUUGUCCGGAAUUAUUGGGCGUAAAGAGCUCGUAGGCGGCCUGUUGCGUCCGCUGUGAAAUCCCAGGGCUUAACCCUGGGCGUGCAGUGGAUACGGGCAGGCUGGAGGCAGGCAGGGGAGAACGGAAUUCCCGGUGUAGCGGUGAAAUGCGCAGAUAUCGGGAGGAACACCGGUGGCGAAGGCGGGCCUCUGGGCCGAUAUUGACGCUGAGGAGCGAAAGCGUGGGGAGCGAACAGG
rnacentral:rRNA from 1 species